UACGAAGGGGGCUAGCGUUGCUCGGAAUUACUGGGCGUAAAGCGCACGUAGGCGGCUCUUUAAGUCGGAGGUGAAAUCCUGGAGCUCAACUCCAGAACUGCCUUCGAUACUGUAGAGCUUGAGUUCGGGAGAGGUGAGUGGAACUGCGAGUGUAGAGGUGAAAUUCGUAGAUAUCUGGAGGAAUACCGGUGGCGAAGGCGGCAUCCUGGACCGGCAUUGACGCUGAGUGAGCGAAAGCCAGGGGAGCAAACGGG
rnacentral:rRNA from 1 species